UACAGAGGGUGCAAGCGUUGUUCGGAAUUAUUGGGCGUAAAGCGCGUGUAGGCGGCUUUGCAAGUCGGGUGUGAAAGCCCUCAGCUCAACUGAGGAAGUGUGCCCGAAACUGCAGAGCUUGAGUACCGGAGAGGAUGGCGGAAUUCCCCAAGUAGAGGUGAAAUUCGUAGAUAUGGGGAGGAACACCGGUGGCGAAGGCGGCCAUCUGGACGGAUACUGACGCUGAGACGCGAAAGCGUGGGGAGCAAACAGG
rnacentral:rRNA from 1 species